rnacentral:lncRNA from 1 species
CGGGUAAUGUAAUCCCAAACUAGAGCCACUUGAACUGAGCUUUGUCUCAAGAUGGUUAGACUUAUUCAACUACCCUCAAAAUUGAGUCAUGGAUAAUGCACUGAUUAUGAAGCUUGGCACUGAAACAGGAGUGACAGCCUACAGUGUAGACUUCCAUGGUCAGCAGGUGACAGUCACAGGAUUAGUCACUCCCGAGGAUGUUUAUCGACACGUCUCUCGAACAGGCAAGAUCACGGCGCUGGUGCCUCCACCUCCACCGCCGCCUCCACCCCCUGAAGAGCCAGCCAAACCUCCGGAGCCUCCCAAAGAAGAGCCCAAGGUAGAAGAGGCCAAACCUGAGGAGCCAAAGAAGGAAGAGGCAGCUGCACCUGCUGCCGAAGAAAAGAAGGAAGAUCCACCCAAAGCAGAGGAGCCCAAGAAAGAGGUAAGUUUCCAAAAUUCCACCAAGGAGAAGAGAACGGAAUACUUGCAACUAGCUUUAUGAACAACUUCGACCAAAUCAGUCGGCAAACUUUUCUUUUGCAAACUCGUGACCAUUGACAUCAGAAUUCAUCUUUGGCAUUCAAUCAUUCUUAAAAAAAAAUCAAAGGCAGUUAUCAACAUGAGAAAGACAGUGAGAGUUGAGAUAGUCCACCAAGGAUUUCACACAAUUGUAAGACAAUGGCUUAGGAUAUAAUACGGGUUACGGGUUAUGACCCACUACUCAAAAAUACAAAUCAAAAGAAUGGCAAGAAACAAGAAACAAUUAAAUCAAUAAUCAAACUCAAGAGUCGACACCAAAAUGUAAAAAAAGAGAAGAAAAAAGAAAAAGAAAAAGAAAAAACUUUGUACGUUUUGUAGAUAUUUAUAGUUGUAGAUUGAAGCUUGAAGAGACUUGCACGUGGGGGUCCUGUGUCGAUGACGUAGGAAGAGAAGAAACCUGAGGCCGCGGCACCACCACCAGCUGAGGAAAAGAAGGGAGACGACAAGAAGGCCGAGGAAGCCAAAACGGAUGAGAAGAAAGAAGAAGCAGCACCGGCACCGGCACCACCCACCGAAACGAAAGAAGAGGCAGCCAAGCCAGCUGAGGAACAACCCAAGGCAGUGGAGGAGAAGAAAGACCCACCGCCACCUCCACCGCCAGCUCCAGCUCCAGCGCCGCCUCCGCCGCGUCCACCGCCCAGUUUCGAAGAUAUGUACCCAGUGACGUUUGUGCUUGGACCCGAUUACACCCGCUACUACUACUACUAAAGGAUUUUUGCAACGCAGGGAGG